ACAUCCACACUACAAAUUGUAAAAAAUUCAAAACUAAACAAAAAUUACAUUAAAUAAUUUAAAAUUUACAAAAUAGCCCCUAAAACUCCAGAAAUUGCAGGGAAGGCCUUCUGCAACCGCAGGAACAGUGGCGGCGUGUCUCCCCAUGCACCCCAGGUAAGCAGGAGGGUCAGUCACGGCUUCCUCUCUUCUUCCCCUCCUCGCC
rnacentral:lncRNA from 1 species